GGUGGCUCAGUGAUAGAGCGCUUCCCUUGCAAGCAUGAGGACCUGAGUUCAAUUCCUCAGCACCA
rfam:Dipodomys ordii ctg_broad_rename0003137, whole genome shotgun sequence.